CGGGACAUCAUGGCUGCGCCCGCGCUAGGGCUGACUCGAGGACGCGGCGCCGGCCUCGGUCUCGUCCUCCUGUUGCCGCUGCUCUUGCCGCUGGGCGGGACGGCGGGGGGCGAAGAGGCCGGGGCCGAGGCGGGCGCGGCGUCCCUCGCGGGCUCGUGCGGUUGUGGCACUCCCCAGCGGCCCGGGGCCCAUGGCAGCUCGGCGGCCGCGCACCGAUACUCGCGGGAGGCGAACGCCCCCGGCUCGGUCCCCGGAGAGCGGCCGUUCCCGCCCACCAAGAUGGUCCCCAUCCCUGCCGGAGUGUUUACCAUGGGCACAGAUGAUCCUCAGAUAAAGCAGGAUGGGGAAGCACCUGCGAGGAGAGUUGCUAUUGAUGCCUUUUACAUGGAUGCCUAUGAAGUCAGUAAUGCUGAAUUUGAGAAGUUUGUGAACUCAACUGGCUAUUUGACGGAGGCUGAGAAGUUUGGUGACUCCUUUGUCUUUGAAGGCAUGUUGAGUGAGCAAGUGAAGUCUGAUAUCCAACAGGCAGUUGCAGCUGCUCCGUGGUGGUUACCUGUUAAAGGCGCUAACUGGAGACACCCAGAAGGGCCCGACUCUACUAUCUUACACAGGCCAGAUCACCCGGUUCUCCACGUCUCCUGGAACGACGCUGUCGCCUACUGCACGUGGGCAGGGAAGCGGUUGCCCACGGAAGCUGAGUGGGAGUACAGCUGUCGAGGAGGCCUGCAAAAUAGACUUUUCCCCUGGGGCAACAAACUGCAGCCGAAAGGCCAACAUUAUGCCAACAUUUGGCAGGGGGAGUUUCCUGUGACCAACACCGGAGAGGACGGCUUCCGAGGGACCGCGCCUGUUGACGCCUUUCCUCCCAACGGUUUCGGCUUGUACAACAUAGUAGGGAACGCCUGGGAGUGGACUUCAGACUGGUGGACCAUUCACCAUUCUGUUGAAGAAACAAUUAACCCAUGGAAGAUGGAAGUCAUUCUGGAGGAAAAGGUAGUGUUUAUCCACUGCCACUUUUCUUUGUGGUCCUGGAGCAAGGCUGAUCAUUCAACGGCAACAACAACAAAAAAAACCUAUUGAGAAACAGAAAAAGGCCCCCUUUCUGGGAAAGACCGGGUGAAGAAAGGUGGAUCCUACAUGUGCCACAAGAGAUAAAAUGAAGCAUUUUGACAUUAUUCCACUAAUUGCCCCAUUUUAUCGAAGAGGGAGCAGGUUCAGAAAGCCUUUGCCUAAAGUUAAAUAACUAAUGAGCCUUGGAUUUUGUCUUUUCAGUCCUACUGCUACAGGUAUCGCUGUGCUGCUCGAAGCCAGAACACACCCGACAGCUCUGCUUCUAAUCUGGGAUUCCGCUGUGCAGCCGACCGCCUGCCCACCACAGGCUAAGAGCCAAGAAGAACCUUCCGGAUCCGAGAAGAAGCCGUGUCCAGCCUGCACGCGGCUUCCUUCAGAAGGCUGAACAGCCUUGUGUGAAGAAUUCCCACCCCGAGGUGGGUUACCUACCUGCCUGAUGGCCAGAGGAACCGCAUGGCGAGACCAAAUAGCUGACCUGCAUCAGCAUGUGCGCUUUAUUGUGUGGUGUGUUUCAUGUUUUAUUUUUGAGAGUCUUUUAAAGAGGAAGGUAGUGGAGGGCACCUGGAGCUAGGCUACUGCCCAGGCUCUGCCCAUGCAGUUAGACCCCAGGGUCCCACACUUGACCUUCCUGGGCCUCAGCGACCUCAUCUGUCCAGUGAGGACACGAUGAUCAAUGUGGUCUCUGAAGCUCUCUCCCUACUCUUAAAUUCUCUGAAUAUAUCAGAUUCUAUUGUGAUUUCAUAGUGAGAAUUUAUGAGAUUAUUUUUUAGCUAUUUUUUUUCCACGUGUGAACCUUGGGUGAUACUAAUCAUGUAAAAUAAUUGUUCGCUUAUGUAUUAUUUUUAGAAAAGAAUGGGGAGGGGGCGGCGGUGAUGAGUCUUUAUAUUCAUACUGCACUUUGCUUUUUCAAGGAAAUCAGUGUCUUUUGCAUUGUUAUGAUGAAUCCUACUUGGGCCAGUGAUGGUGUGCUCAAAUUCAGCAAUCUGAACACGCAGGAAUGUCUGUGGGGUGACUCUACUGUGCUUUAUCUUUUAACGUUAAGUGCCUUUGGUUCAGGGGGCAGUUACAAGCCCUGUUUCCCCCUCUCCCCCAAAGCCUUUGGUGAAUGUGAAACGUGUGCUACACGGAGAAAGCUGUUUAAUUCUAGAUGUAGGAGAAGAGGAACAAGAACCUUGAAUUAACUAUACUUAAGGUACGCAGUAUUUUGUAAUCAGGAAGUAGGCAGUCUUGUUGGCCGCGGGUUUAUCAGAUGCUCUGGAUCAUGCACUGUGUGGAAUAAACUGGUUUCUGCUAAA